rnacentral:rRNA from 1 species
AUUGAACGCUGGCGGCAUGCUUUACACAUGCAAGUCGAACGGCAGCGCGGGCUUCGGCCUGGCGGCGCGUGGCGAACGGGUGAGUAAUGCAUCGGAACGUGCCCCGCAGUGGGGGAUAGCCAGGCGAAAGCCGGAUUAAUACCGCAUACGACCUGCGGGUGAAAGCGGGGGACCGAAAGGCCUCGCGCUAUUGGGGCGGCCGAUGUCGGAGUAGCUAGUUGGUGGGGUAAAGGCUUACCAAGGCGACGAUUCGUAGCUGGUCUGAGAGGACGACCAGCCACACUGGUACUGAGACACGGCCCAGACUCCUACGGGAGGCAGCAGUGGGGAAUUUUGGACAAUGGGGGCAACCCUGAUCCAGCCAUGCCGCGUGCGGGAAGAAGGCCUUCGGGUUGGAAACCGCUUUUGUUCGGGAAGAAAUCCUCUGGGCUAAUACCCCGGGGGGAUGACGGUACCGGAAGAAUAAGCACCGGCUAACUACGUG